CCUACGGGAGGCAGCAGUGAGGAAUAUUGGUCAAUGGACGAGAGUCUGAACCAGCCAAGCAGCGUGAAGGAUGACGGUCCUAUGUGUUGUAAACUUCUUUUAUAUGGGAAUAAAUUUUUCCACGUGUGGGAUUUUGUAUGUACCAUAUGAAUAAGGAUCGGCUAACUCCGUGCCAGCAGCCGCGGUAAUACGGAGGAUCCGAGCGUUAUCCGGAUUUAUUGGGUUUAAAGGGAGCGUAGGUGGAUUGUUAAGUCAGUUGUGAAAUUUUGUGGCUCAACCGUAAGAUUGCAGUUGAAACUGGCAGUCUUGAGUACGAUAGAGGUACGCGGAAUUCGUGGUGUAGCGGUGAAAUGCUUAGAUAUCACGAAGAACUCCGAUUGCGAAGGCAGUUCACUGGCGUGCAACUGACGCUGAGGCACGAAAGUGUGGGUAUCAAACAGGAUUAGAUACCCGAGUAGUC
rnacentral:rRNA from 1 species